AUGCAGUGUACCCGCGGCAAGACGGAAAGACCCCGUGAACCUUUACUAUAGCUUGACACUGAACAUUGAGCCUUGAUGUGUAGGAUAGGUGGGAGGCUUUGAAGUGUGGACGCCAGUCUGCAUGGAGCCGACCUUGAAAUACCACCCUUUAAUGUUUGAUGUUCUAACGUUGACCCGUAAUCCGGGUUGCGGACAGUGUCUGGUGGGUAGUUUGACUGGGGCGGUCUCCUCCUAAAGAGUAACGGAGGAGCACGAAGGUUGGCUAAUCCUGGUCGGAC
rnacentral:rRNA from 1 species